GAGUUUGAUCCUGGCUCAGAACGAACGCUGGCGGCGUGCUUAACACAUGCAAGUCGAACGUGAUUGAGAGCUUGCUCUCAUGAAAGUGGCGCACGGGUGAGUAACACGUGGAUAAUCUGCCUGGCGAUUCGGGAUAACACUUCGAAAGGGGUGCUAAUACCGGAUAAGCCCACGGUCUCUUCGGAGARUGCGGGAAAAGGGGGCCUCUGUAUAUGCUCCUGUCGCUAGAUGAGUCCGCGGCCCAUUAGCUAGUUGGUAGGGUAAUGGCCUACCAAGGCUACGAUGGGUAGCUGGUCUGAGAGGAUGAUCAGCCACACUGGAACUGAGACACGGUCCAGACUCCUACGGGAGGCAGCAGUGGGGAAUUUUGCGCAAUGGGGGAAACCCUGACGCAGCAACGCCGCGUGAGUGAUGAAAGCUUUCGGGUCGUAAAGCUCUGUCGGAGGGGAAGAAAAGAAAACGGUUAAUACCCGUUUUCCUUGACGGUACCYUYAAAGGAAGCACCGGCUAACUCCGUGCCAGCAGCCGCGGUAAAGGRCGCACUGGAAACASUCCGACCCAYGAKUMSGGAUUYACWGGCCGUCGUUGUACAGCCAAUGAAACAGCUAGAACUUCG
rnacentral:rRNA from 1 species